CAAGUGAUCCACCCACCUCAGCCUCCCAAAGUACUAGGAUUACAGGUGUGAGCCACUGCACCCAGCCCCUACUUGAGUCUUAAGAUGAGACUGAAGGCCUGUCUGACAGUUUUACUGCAAUCUCAAAAGAGACCUUGAGCCAGCAAGAUCCAGCAAAGCCACUCUGGAUCCCUGAGCCACUGAAACUGUGAGGCAAAGAAACUGAGGCCCAGAGAGGCUCGAUGACAUGUUCAAAGUCACAUAUCCAGAAGAGGACGGAGUCAAAGUCUUUCUGGAAGUUUCCAAAAGGAAGAAUAGGAUCCUGGUUUGGAAUUUCUCUGAAAUUGGACUUCUAAUUUUCUGUAGGAAUGAACGUUCCCAAAUUGGAGCUGUCCAGCAAUAAGGUGGAUUGCCUUUGAAGAAGCUGAGUUCCUUGCCAUAGGAAGUAUUCAAGCAGAAAGGUACAAAGACUCAACGACAGAGUGCCAGAGAGGAUGUCUUAUGGAGAUGGUUGACAUAAACCUCUCUAACUGCAUGGGCUAGAAGGGAUCCAGGAAGCCCCCUAGAAACUUUCUCAGAGGUUUCCUCUCUCAGCUUGGAGCCCCCUCCCUCUGUCUCUACAGCUUACGACAGGUUUAUUGGGACAAUGCCAUCAUAAAUCAAGAAGCAUCUGUAAGUCCACUGAAAUAAAACGCAAACCAGCAACUCAGAGAGGUUCAUUGACUUGCCGAAGGCCACAAAGCUGUUAAGUGUUCAAACAGAUGGCGUCAAACCAGAUCUUUAGCCUCAGGGACCAGAGCUCUGCAGCCUGGAGGGGACCUUCUGCAGCAUCAUUGCACAGAAGACAUCAAUCAAUCAGUCUUUCAGUGGCCUUACAUUUUUCUCCACUUGCAGGUUAUGGGUCACCAUUUUACAAAUUCCUCCAGGACAGAAAGAAACUGUUUCUCCUGCCUGUUCUUUCCCAGCCCAGGCUGUCACCGGGGAUCCAAAUGUCAGGCUUUAUGCAAGUUCUCGAUGUUGGAACCUCUCAUGAAAAGUGGAGUGAACAAGAGGGAAAGUGGGCAAACCUCAGGCCUCACAGCUUUAAUGCCACCGAUGCAUUUGGUGAGGGACCUGAUCUCUCUGCUUCCAAGACAGAGUCUUGUUGCUGUCUUCCGGAGGGGAGGAACCCCGUGUCCUCACGUGGCAGAAGAGCAUAAGAGAGCAAACCCACUCCUUCAAACUCGCCUUUUAGAGAUGGGGUCUCACUCUGUCACCCAGGCUAGAGCGAGCAUAGUGGUAUGAUCCUAGCUCAUUGCAGCC